CAGCAGCCGCGGGAAUACGGAGGGGGCUAGCGUUGUUCGGAAUUACUGGGCGUAAAGCGCACGUAGGCGGCUUUGUAAGUUAGAGGUGAAGGCCCGGAGCUCAACUCCGGAAUUGCCUUUAAGACUGCAGAGCUAGCAGGUGAGAGAGGUGAGUGGAAUUCCGAGUGUAGAGGUGAAAUUCGUAGAUAUUCGCAGGAACACCAGUGGCGAAGGCGGCUAACUGGUCCAUAACUGACGCUGAGAUGCGAAAGCGUGGGGAGCAAACAGGAUUAGAUACCCGCGUAGUCCCUGUCUCUUAUAA
rnacentral:rRNA from 1 species